UGGUGAGGAUGCAAAGAAAAGGGAACACUUAUACACUGUUGAUGGGAAGAUAAAUUAGUACAAUCAAAAAAGCAGUAUCGAGAUUUCUCAAAGAACUAAAAAUAGAACUGCCAUUCCAUCCAGCAAUCACACUAAUGGGUAUAUACCCAAAGGGAAAGAAGUAUUGUAUAAAAAAUAUACCUGCACUGGUAAGUUUAUUGCACCACUAUUCACAAUAGCAAAGAUAGGGAAUCAACUUAAGUGUCCAUGAAUACACACACACACACACACACCUCCUUAAUAUGAACAUGCCUAACUUCAUGCUACUCGUGUGUGCAUCACCCCAUUUGAAGGUAAUGAGGAGUUUUCAAUGGCAUUCUUGAACCACACUCUGUACGGACAGCCGGGACUGAAGCUUACCCCCACCUUCCAGAGGGUGUGUGUUGAGUGUAACUUGUGCACAGAAACACACACGCUUUCUCCCUCUAGCCAAGCUCAAAUUAACCAAGAGCCUAGGAAUGUAACUCUUGUUCCAGAAUUCAAUCAGCCAUCUCCCUUCUUUUAAGUGUUUGGCUUCUGUUGAGAAAAAGAUUUAAGGCAAACCUAAUCCUGACCCGUUUCAGGAACUUGACUAUGGAUCAUAUAAUCCCCCAAAUCCACCUCUUCCUACAUGAGAGAGGUUUCUAAUCCUUGUUAGAAGGAACCUCUCACCCAGAGAGCUGGCUUGGUACAGUCAACCCUUGAAUUUCCACAAAAAAAAUUGAGGGUGAAGGCGAGGAAAAAAAGAGGCAUGUGUUCAUGAUGGGGAAGAGCAGCAGAGAUAAAAAUGUGCACUGUUCAGUUUUGUUUUGGGUUAUUUGCUGGGCUGUUUAAAGUGCCAGGUCUGGCUCUUAUACAAGUCUCAGCUCCAAUAAGCUGGCUGCAGGGGAGACUUCUUGUUACAAUUAUCCUCUAAGCAUAGCUAAGUCAUAAAAUCCAGGACUUUUCUGAUGUGAAAUGUGCAGGCUUUAAAAAUCAGUGUCACUGUCAACUGCUGCUGCCAGCAAAAUAAGUGAUUCACAUUGUGGCAGAAAACUCCCCCAGAGUGAAAGCUAAUGAGAACACAUACGGAGACUUCUGGAUGUCCAGUCGGAACCCCACACAACGGCAGCAUGGGGGCUGGCAUUUCAAAGGUCAGAAAUCAAACAGGGCUGAAAUCAAGGGGGAGAGAAUUCUCAGAAAAGACAUAGACUUGGCAAGGACUUCAUGGGCAAAGAAAUUCUCAUUGCAAACUCCCGUAAGAUAGCUUUGGUCCCUGCAACUUCUGAAUAAAGGUCUCCGUGAAACUGUCCCUGACCACUCCAUUUAAAAUUACAACCUUUCCCAAUCCCUAUCCUCUUGCUUUUUAAAUUUUUCUCCAGAGCAUUUACCAUCAGGUAAUAAACUAUAUGCUUUACUUAUUACUCUUUCCCCACCAGAAUGUAAGCUACAUGAUGGCUGGAAAUUACUUUUUGUCUGUUUUCCUCUCUGCACUAGGUGCUUAGCAUAUGCUGGGUGCAAAGUAUUUGUUGAAAGAAUGAACAUGUGUAUAAAAAUAGCCCCACAACAGCCCCUUGUGGUGAGGACUGUCAUCACCAUUUUACAGAUAAGAAAAUGGGAGAGCAGAGAUUUAAGUCUCAUGCUUUAGACCAGGGCUUCUUAAAUAUGAACAGACAAAGGAAUCCCUGGGGAUCUUGCUGAAGUGAAGGCUCUGACUCAGCAGGCCUGGGUGGGGCCUUAGUUCUGCAUGACCAUGCCUCAACUUCCAGGUAGUGCUAGAGCUGCUGGACAGCUACGCACCCAGACAAAAGGAUGGCGCAAGACCCUGCAAGUGGCUAAAGGAAAUCAAAAUGUUUUAUCCCAAAAUAGAUUUCUUUGACAUCAUUUGAAAUGGCUGCUGCUGGGCCAGCAGACAGAAGUGGCCUUGCAAAACUGUCUCUUGUGGGGAAAUUUUGCAUCUGUAGAGAAUCUCCUUGAAUGCAGCCAGCCCUUCUCUUUCCAGGCCUUUCCCAGAUCUAGGACAGAUUGAGUCUGACACCUUUACAAGUCUGAAAAGAAAUUCACCAUCUAUUCUCUCUAGGAGUUAUGACCUGGAAGGCUUCAUCUACAUAACAAUGCCACCUUUGCUAGCC
rnacentral:lncRNA from 1 species